CGCGCAGACCGCCUUAUCGUCUCAAUUUAUUGAGGAGGAAAGUCCGGACACCAAAGAGUAGCAUAUUGGGUAACGCCCAACCGUCGAAAGGCGAGGACAAGUGCAACAGAAAGUAUGUACAGUUCGGCUGUAGUGAAACCAGGUAAACUCUAUGCGGUGAAAUUCCAAGUAUAUCGGCAUUUAAGGAUUACUCGUCCGUUGUCGAAGGGUAGGAAGAUUGAUUCCGUGAGUAAUUGCGGAACUAGAUAAAUGAUAAGGGUUCGUUUCGGCGAAUACAGAAUCCGGCUUACAGGUCUGCUUUUUUA
rnacentral:RNase_P_RNA from 1 species